rnacentral:rRNA from 1 species
CUGGUCAGGACGAACGCUGGCGGCGUGCCUAAUACAUGCAAGUCGAACGGUCUUUCUAUGGAAGCUUGCUUCCACUGAGGAGAUAGUGGCGAACGGGUGAGUAACACGUGGGUAACCUGCCCAUAAGAGGGGGAUAACAUCCGGAAACGGGUGCUAAUACCGCAUAGUUUUCUUGAUCGCAUGAUCGGGAAAGGAAAGACGGCCUCUGUGCUGUCGCUUAUGGAUGGACCCGCGGCGUAUUAGUUAGUUGGUGAGGUAAUGGCUCACCAAGACGAUGAUACGUAGCCGACCUGAGAGGGUGAUCGGCCACAUUGGGACUGAGACACGGCCCAAACUCCUACGGGAGGCAGCAGUAGGGAAUCUUCCGCAAUGGACGAAAGUCUGACGGAGCAACGCCGCGUGAGUGAAGAAAGGUUUUCGGAUCGUAAAACUCUGUUGUCAGAGAAGAACAAGUUGGAGAGUAACUGCUCCAGCCUUGACGGUAUCUGACCAGAAAGCCACGGCUAACUACGUGCCAGCCGCCGC